rnacentral:piRNA from 1 species
UUACACAUUCUGUACCACUUU